rnacentral:rRNA from 1 species
AGGACCGGGAUAACCCUGGGAAACUGGGGAUAAUACUGGAUAGGCAAUUUUUCCUGUAAUGGUUUUUUGUUUAAAUGUUUUUUCGCCUAAGGAUGGGUCUGCGGCCGAUUAGGUAGUUGGUUAGGUAAUGGCUUACCAAGCCGUUGAUCGGUACGGGUUGUGAGAGCAAGAGCCCGGAGAUGGAACCUGAGACAAGGUUCCAGGCCCUACGGGGUGCAGCAGGCGCGAAACCUCCGCAAUGUGAGAAAUCGCGACGGGGGGAUCCCAAGUGCCAUUCUUAACGGGAUGGCUUUUCAUUAGUGUAAAGAGCUUUUGGAAUAAGAGCUGGGCAAGACCGGUGCCAGCCGCCGCGGUAACACCGGCAGCUCUAGUGGUAGCAAUUUUUAUUGGGCCUAAAGCGUCCGUAGCCGGUUUAAUAAGUCUCUGGUGAAAUCUUGCAGCUUAACUGUGGGAAUUGCUGGAGAUACUAUUAGACUUGAGACCGGGAGAGGUUAGAGGUACUCCCAGGGUAGAGGUGAAAUUCUGUAAUCCUGGGAGGACCGCCUGUUGCGAAGGCGUCUAACUGGAACGGUUCUGACGGUGAGGGACGAAAGUUAGGGGCGCGAACCGGAUUAGAUACCCGGGUAGUCCUAACUGUAAACGAUGCGGACUUGGUGUUGGGGUGGCUUUGAGCUGCUUCAGUGCCGAAGGGAAGCUGUUAAGUCCGCCGCCUGGGAAGUACCGUCGCAAGACUGAAACUUAA